CCCACACAGUCGUCCCAAAAAAGACAGAGCUUCCAGACAGCAACUCUGGCUUCCUUAAAAAAUGAUUCUCAUUUCUGAAAACGCGGAGUACCUACUAAGUGCCAGUGCCACUGCCAGCGCCGAAAGAUCCCUGGAAUUCCCACACAGCUCCUCCCUCCCAGAGCUCUCGGUGUAGCUAGGGAGGUAGGGAAGCGCUCCCGUGACUCAGCCCCGGCACGAUGUGGAAAUGAAGUUUAAACAAGGGGCACCUAAGAACAGAGAGAUUAAUUCUGCUUUGAGAGGAAACUAGGGCCAGAAGAGGGCAAACGCAAUGUCAAAUCAGUUUCAGAAGCAUCUGCCAUAUAUGACAUUUAGGAGUAAAGAGCCCUGCCUGAGCCUCCUCCCCGUGGAUUUUCCUGCUGUGUUCGCACUGUGUGCUGUGCUGCCAUGGGUGUUUCUCCCAUCGACCCGCUCAUCGCACCGCCCGUGAGUUGUCCUUCAUGGUCGCACUGCAGCCUCAGGAGCUUUACAAUGUCUGGGACACAGUAGAGGUCAAUGAAGUUCUGUUGAGCACCAUAUCCAACCCCAGUGCACCUGCUUGCUCCACCGGGCUUCCCCGAGACCUGCCCCACAAAGUGCCAGGGAGACUGUUCGCACCGCGCUUACCCGCCACCCAAUCUGGGCAUUCUGGUUUGGUGAGCGACAGGAGACCCAAGAAGAGCCCUGACUGAGCCCGUUUCUCCCAGCUGCAUCCCUGUGCAAAGGACGGGGAAGUCCUCUCUGCAACCCUGUGAAUAAGCACAGGUCUCUCACUGCUAGACUGGCACACGAGACAAUCUGAUGCUUUUUGCUGCAUCCCUCUGCUACGAUGAACCCAGGGCCUGCCUGGCAUGUUGCGGCUGCUCAGCAAACAUUGCUGGGCUUCUUCGCUUGUGCACCAGGAGUGAGUCAGCCCCAGGGCCUCAGCCUGAGGACUGAGGAGAAGGCUCCUCUCCUUCUCGGCCCUGCUUGACCUCUGGCUCCACUCUCUUCCCCAGUCAUGACGGCUAACGAGUGUCUAAUAAGUCUCUGAAUUCAGCUCUCCAGUGGAUUAAGAUGGAGUCAAUUUUGUUGUCAUUCGCCCAGUGGAGAGGUGGAGUUUUUUUUCCUCCCUUGGUUGUGGUUGGGCCCUGUGACUGUUUUAACAAAUAGAAGGCGGCAGAGGUGCCACUGUGCCACUUUCAGGCCUAAGCUUAAGAAGAGCUGGCAGCCUUUGCUUUUGUACGCUGAGGAGCCCUGAGCUGCCACGUACGAAGUCAGCUACACUGAUGAGGAGAGCAGGUAGAGCAGCCACAUGGAGAGGGAGAGACCUCAAGACUACAUGGAGAGAGCUGCCAUCCCAGCGUCCCAGCUGAGCCCAGCCUUCCAGCCACCACGGCCAAGGCGCCAGACAUGCCAGGGAGCCAUCUUGGAUUUUGCAGCUGAUGGAGUCUGAAGAGGACUGUGGCACAGCCAGUGACAUGGAGAGCAGAAGAGUUGCCCAGCUGAGCCAAGUCAACCCACAGAAUGAGGAGAGAAAAUAGAAUGGCUGUUUUUUGAAGCUUAUCAAAGCUGGCUCC
rnacentral:lncRNA from 1 species